ACACAUGCAGUCGAGCGGAAACGAGUUAACUGAACCUUCGGGGAACGUUAACGGCGUCGAGCGGCGGACGGGUGAGUAAUGCCUAGGAAAUUGCCCUGAUGUGGGGGAUAACCAUUGGAAACGAUGGCUAAUACCGCAUGAUGCCUACGGGCCAAAGAGGGGGACCUUCGGGCCUCUCGCGUCAGGAUAUGCCUAGGUGGGAUUAGCUAGUUGGUGAGGUAAGGGCUCACCAAGGCGACGAUCCCUAGCUGGUCUGAGAGGAUGAUCAGCCACACUGGAACUGAGACACGGUCCAGACUCCUACGGGAGGCAGCAGUGGGGAAUAUUGCACAAUGGGCGCAAGCCUGAUGCAGCCAUGCCGCGUGUGUGAAGAAGGCCUUCGGGUUGUAAAGCACUUUCAGUCGUGAGGAAGGUAGUGUGUUUAAUAGCUGCUUUAUUUGACGUUAGCGACAGAAGAAGCACCGGCUAACUCCGUGCCAGCAGCCGCGGUAAUACGGAGGGUGCGAGCGUUAAUCGGAAUUACUGGGCGUAAAGCGCAUGCAGGUGGUUUGUUAAGUCAGAUGUGAAAGCCCGGGGCUCAACCUCGGAAUAGCAUUUGAAACUGGCAGACUAGAGUACUGUAGAGGGGGGUAGAAUUUCAGGUGUAGCGGUGAAAUGCGUAGAGAUCUGAAGGAAUACCGGUGGCGAAGGCGGCCCCCUGGACAGAUACUGACACUCAGAUGCGAAAGCGUGGGGAGCAAACAGGAUUAGAUACCCUGGUAGUCCACGCCGUAAACGAUGUCUACUUGGAGGUUGUGGCCUUGAGCCGUGGCUUUCGGAGCUAACGCGUUAAGUAGACCGCCUGGGGAGUACGGUCGCAAGAUUAAAACUCAAAUGAAUUGACGGGGGCCCGCACAAGCGGUGGAGCAUGUGGUUUAAUUCGAUGCAACGCGAAGAACCUUACCUACUCUUGACAUCCAGAGAACUUUCCAGAGAUGGAUUGGUGCCUUCGGGAACUCUGAGACAGGUGCUGCAUGGCUGUCGUCAGCUCGUGUUGUGAAAUGUUGGGUUAAGUCCCGCAACGAGCGCAACCCUUAUCCUUGUUUGCCAGCGAGUAAUGUCGGGAACUCCAGGGAGACUGCCGGUGAUAAACCGGAGGAAGGUGGGGACGACGUCAAGUCAUCAUGGCCCUUACGAGUAGGGCUACACACGUGCUACAAUGGCGCAUACAGAGGGCGGCCAACUUGCGAAAGUGAGCGAAUCCCAAAAAGUGCGUCGUAGUCCGGAUUGGAGUCUGCAACUCGACUCCAUGAAGUCGGAAUCGCUAGUAAUCGUGGAUCAGAAUGCCACGGUGAAUACGUUCCCGGGCCUUGUACACACCGCCCGUCACACCAUGGGAGUGGGCUGCAAAAGAAGUAGGUAGUUUAACCUUCGGGGGG
rnacentral:rRNA from 1 species